GGUGGAGGUAGUGAUGUUUUUGGUAGUGAUAAUGGUGGUGAUGGUGGAGAUAGUGAUGGUGCUGUUGGUAGUGAUGAUAGUGGUGAUGGCAAAGGUAGUGAUCAUGCUGUUGGUAGUGAUGAUGGUGGUGAUGGUGGAGGUAGUGACGAUGUUGUUGGUAGUGAUGAUUGUGGUGAUGAUGGAGGUACUGAUGGUGUUGGUAGAGAUGAUGGUGGUAAUGGAGGUGGUGAUGGUGUUGUUGGGAGUGACGAUGGUGGUGGUGGUGAAGGUAGUGAUGGUGUCAGUGAUGACCAUGUUAAAAAAGAAAAAAAGAAGCUGCUCCUUUCUGAGUCUAGGCCAAAUCUCCAGAAACUCAGGUGUCUGCUUGCAUAAGAUAUGGGAAAUGUUCUCUGCUCUAGAAGCCAUGGUCCACAAGCUUCCCUGAUCCAGGAGCAACUUGGGCAAGGGCUUCUGGAGAGUAGAAGAUGAUGCAUCAUAGAUAUUAAGAACAAAGCUGUGUCCAAGUCAUGCCUAACCUCAUGAAACCUCAGUUUACUCACUUGCAAAAUGGAGAUAAUACUUAUAACCUACAUCAUAAGGAUGAGACUCCAAUAAGAUAAGAAGGAUGUAGGUUGGGCACAGUGGCUUACGCCUGUAAUACCAGCACUUUGGGAGACUGAACCAGGGAGGAUCUCUUGAUGGCAGGGGUUCAAGACCAGCCUGGGCAACAUGGCGAGACCCCCAUCUCUACAAAAAAAUAAAAUAAAUUAGCUAGGCCUAAUAGUACACACCUACAGACCCAGUUACUUGAGAGGCUGAGGUGGGAGAAUUGCUUGAGCCCAGGGGUUAGAGGUUGCAGUGAGCUAUAACUGCGCCACUGCCCUCCAGCCUGGAUGACAGAGUGAAACCUUGUUUCAAGAAGGAAAAAGAGAAGGAUGCAACAUGAUGCUUAGCGCACAGUAAAUGCAUCAAAAAGAUCCUGAGCCUCCCCAGGGUUCACUCUCCCUAACCCUCUCUUGCUGACCUUGUCUGCUGAAACAGUCAUGACUAUAGACUUCUGCCCCCUGCUCUUGGAGAAAGACUUAAGGGUCUCUUCCUCACUCUCUGAAGCCCCAGUAUUAGUUUCUUUGUCCCCAUGCCCACUCCCCAGCAACUCCAGCGCCCUGGCUCAAUCAGACAUCUGAAGGUCCUGGCUGCUCCCAGCAGAGGUGGAUGGUAUUCCUGUGUCUGCUGGUGGUGACUUCCAUGUUCCUGGGCUGCCUCGGUCUCACUGUGACCCUGAUUAAAUACCAGGAGUUGAUGGAAGAACUGAGAAUAUUAAACUUUCAGCAGAUGACGUGGCAAGCAAAUAAAGAAUCUUCUGACCUGGCAUGGCUUUCAUUGUGACUGCUGAAGUCUGAAUAUAUCUCCAUUCCACACUGCCUCACCCUAUGCUUCAUAACAAGCAAGCUCAAAUCCCAUCAAUGGCUUCUCAUUGUCCGGAGUCCAAGGUGAAACCUUUAGCUUGGCAUUCAAGGAUCCACAUACUAGGUUGGGUACAGUGGCUCAUGUCUGUAAUCCUAGCACUUUGGAUGGCCAAGGUGGGAAGAUCCCUUGAGACCAGGAGUUCAAGACCAGCCUGGACAGAG